AGAUUUUCUGUUGUGCUUGAUCUAACCAUGUGCUUGCCAGGUCUGAGGAAAACAUGGUUCCGUCAAGCACCAUGGAACGUCA
rnacentral:pre_miRNA from 1 species